CAAAUACGUUACCAGCUGAUCAUACUGAGUCCUUUUGUCUCAAUCUCCCAGUUUUUGGCGGGUUUGCAAGUCAUUUUCGCCUAUGUCAGCCAAGAUGGAAUACUCUAUUGGCGCAGUGACAUAAAUAUCUUACUUUUCAGUAAUACCAACAUGGGUCUCUAUAUGAUGUUCUUUAAACUUAAUUUGAAAGAGAAGGAUCAGCUGUGCAUGGUGGCACACACAUGCAGUCCCAGCUACUGAGGAAGAUGAUGAGGCAGGAGGACCGCCUGAGCCCAGAAGUUUAAGGCUGCAGUGAGCUAAGAUUAAGUAACAUUCCUAAAGACACAUACCAGGUCUUUAGCUCAGAGCUGAGUUAAAAUUUGACCAAAAUCUAUAUGACCUAUGUCUGGGUCUACGUUCUAAACCACUUUCUGUUAAUUGAACAGUAGAUGUUUUUCUUUGUGAUGGAUGCUAUACUUCAAUAUGCCUCAAAUGUUUUUGACAUAUUAAAUAAAAAAUAUAUAGUUUAUCAAUACAAUUAUAUUUUCAAAUGUAAUAAAGUUAGAUACAAAUCCUUGAAGAAAUGUUUAUGGCAACAAGAAAAACUAAAUAUCUAUUCCACAGUGCUUUUAUGGAAGAGGGCUCACUAUUCUGAUACACUGUGUUUGCCUUGAAAAUUAAACUUUAACAAAAAUUAUCAAUAAUGAAAUAUUCUUUAUUAUAUGGAUUAUAUUUAAUGUUAUACAAAAGAACCAGCUAAUUCUGUUUAGAAAUUAAAAACUAGAAGAAAAUCAAAAUAUUAUUUUGUAAUUCCACUUUGCUUAACCUGUUAAACUACCUACGACCUUAGGCAGUUUCUUGUGUAUUAUGUUAAUAAUAUGUAGGUGACAUUUUCUCUACUUUUGUUUAUUAGUUUCAACAUGUAUGAAAUAAAAUAAUCUGCCAUCAAAUGCU
rnacentral:lncRNA from 10 species